rnacentral:rRNA from 1 species
GGUUAAGCGACUAAGCGUACACGGUGGAUGCCCUGGCAGUCAGAGGCGAUGAAGGACGUGCUAAUCUGCGAAAAGCGCCGGCGAGGUGAUAUGAACCCUUGACCCGGCGAUGUCCGAAUGGGGAAACCCAGUGCAAUCCGUUGCACUAUCGUUAACUGAAUACAUAGGUUAACGAGGCGAACCGGGGGAACUGAAACAUCUAAGUACCCCGAGGAAAAGAAAUCAACCGAGAUUCCCCCAGUAGCGGCGAGCGAACGGGGAGCAGCCCGGAGUCUGAAUCAGCUUGUGUGUUAGUGGAACGGUCUGGAAAGUCCGACGGUACAGGGUGAUAGUCCCGUACACGAAAGCACACUUGCUGUGAACUCGAAGAGUAGGGCGGGACACGUGGUAUCCUGUCUGAAUAUGGGGGGACCAUCCUCCAAGGCUAAAUACUCCUGACUGACCGAUAGUGAACCAGUACCGUGAGGGAAAGGCGAAAAGAACCCCGGCGAGGGGAGUGAAAAAGAACCUGAAACCGUGUACGUACAAGCAGUGGGAGCCUACUUGUUAGGUGACUGCGUACCUUUUGUAUAAUGGGUCAGCGACUUAUAUUCUGUAGCAAGGUUAACCGUAUAGGGGAGCCGAAGGGAAACCGAGUCUUAACUGGGCGUUAAGUUGCAGGGUAUAGACCCGAAACCCGGUGAUCUAGCCAUGGGCAGGUUGAAGGUUGGGUAACACUAACUGGAGGACCGAACCGACUAAUGUUGAAAAAUUAGCGGAUGACCUGUGGCUGGGGGUGAAAGGCCAAUCAAACCGGGAGAUAGCUGGUUCUCCCCGAAAGCUAUUUAGGUAGCGCCUCGUGAACUCAUCUUCGGGGGUAGAGCACUGUUUCGGCUAGGGGGCCAUCCCGGCUUACCAACCCGAUGCAAACUACGAAUACCGAAGAAUGUUAUCACGGGAGACACACGGCGGGUGCUAACGUCCGUCGUGAAGAGGGAAACAACCCAGACCGCCAGCUAAGGUCCCAAAGUCAUGGUUAAGUGGGAAACGAUGUGGGAAGGCACAGACAGCCAGGAUGUUGGCUUAGAAGCAGCCAUCAUUUAAAGAAAGCGUAAUAGCUCACUGGUCGAGUCGGCCUGCGCGGAAGAUGUAACGGGGCUAAACCAUGCACCGAAGCUGCGGCAGCGACACUAUGUGUUGUUGGGUAGGGGAGCGUUCUGUAAGCCGUUGAAGGUGUGCUGUGAGGCAUGCUGGAGGUAUCAGAAGUGCGAAUGCUGACAUAAGUAACGAUAAAGCGGGUGAAAAGCCCGCUCGCCGGAAGACCAAGGGUUCCUGUCCAACGUUAAUCGGGGCAGGGUGAGUCGACCCCUAAGGCGAGGCCGAAAGGCGUAGUCGAUGGGAAACAGGUUAAUAUUCCUGUACUUGGUGUUACUGCGAAGGGGGGACGGAGAAGGCUAUGUCAGCCGGGCGACGGUUGUCCCGGUUUAAGCAUGUAGGCGGAGGUUCCAGGUAAAUCCGGUACCUUUUAACGCUGAGGUGUGAUGACGAGGCACUACGGUGCUGAAGUGAUAAAUGCCCUGCUUCCAGGAAAAGCCUCUAAGCAUCAGGUAACACGAAAUCGUACCCCAAACCGACACAGGUGGUCAGGUAGAGAAUACCAAGGCGCUUGAGAGAACUCGGGUGAAGGAACUAGGCAAAAUGGUGCCGUAACUUCGGGAGAAGGCACGCUGAUGUGUAGGUGAAGCCCCUGCGGGCGGAGCUGAAAUCAGUCGAAGAUACCAGCUGGCUGCAACUGUUUAUUAAAAACACAGCACUGUGCAAACACGAAAGUGGACGUAUACGGUGUGACGCCUGCCCGGUGCCGGAAGGUUAAUUGAUGGGGUUAGCUGUAAGGCGAAGCUCUUGAUCGAAGCCCCGGUAAACGGCGGCCGUAACUAUAACGGUCCUAAGGUAGCGAAAUUCCUUGUCGGGUAAGUUCCGACCUGCACGAAUGGCGUAAUGAUGGCCAGGCUGUCUCCACCCGAGACUCAGUGAAAUUGAACUCGCUGUGAAGAUGCAGUGUACCCGCGGCAAGACGGAAAGACCCCGUGAACCUUUACUAUAGCUUGACACUGAACACUGGUCCUUGAUGUGUAGGAUAGGUGGGAGGCUUUGAAGCGUGGACGCCAGUCUGCGUGGAGCCAACCUUGAAAUACCACCCUUUAAUGGCUGGUGUUCUAACGUAGACCCGUAAUCCGGGUUGCGGACAGUGUCUGGUGGGUAGUUUGACUGGGGCGGUCUCCUCCCAAAGAGUAACGGAGGAGCACGAAGGUUGGCUAAUCCUGGUCGGACAUCAGGAGGUUAGUGCAAUGGCAUAAGCCAGCUUGACUGCGAGCGUGACGGCGCGAGCAGGUGCGAAAGCAGGUCAUAGUGAUCCGGUGGUUCUGAAUGGAAGGGCCAUCGCUCAACGGAUAAAAGGUACUCCGGGGAUAACAGGCUGAUACCGCCCAAGAGUUCAUAUCGACGGCGGUGUUUGGCACCUCGAUGUCGGCUCAUCACAUCCUGGGGCUGAAGUAGGUCCCAAGGGUAUGGCUGUUCGCCAUUUAAAGUGGUACGCGAGCUGGGUUUAGAACGUCGUGAGACAGUUCGGUCCCUAUCUGCCGUGGGCGCUGGAGAAUUGAGGGGGGCUGCUCCUAGUACGAGAGGACCGGAGUGGACGCAUCACUGGUGUUCGGGUUGUCAUGCCAAUGGCACUGCCCGGUAGCUAAAUGCGGAAGAGAUAAGUGCUGAAAGCAUCUAAGCACGAAACUUGCCCCGAGAUGAGUUCUCCCUGAGACCUUGAGUCUCCUGAAGGAACGUUGAAGACGACGACGUUGAUAGGUCGGGUGUGUAAGCGCAGCGAUGCGUUGAGCUAACCGAUACUAAUGAACCGUGAGGCUUAACCUU